rnacentral:rRNA from 1 species
UACGGAGGGGGCUAGCGUUGUUCGGAAUUACUGGGCGUAAAGCGCGCGUAGGCGGCUUUGUAAGUUAGAGGUGAAAGCCCGAAGCUCAACUUCGGGAUUGCCUUUAAGACUGCAUCGCUAGAAUUGUGGAGAGGUAAGUGGAAUUCCGAGUGUAGAGGUGAAAUUCGUAGAUAUUCGGAAGAACACCAGUGGCGAAGGCGACUUACUGGACACAUAUUGACGCUGAGGCGCGAAAGCGUGGGGAGCAAACAGG